GUCCCUUUCGUCUAGUGGCUUAGGACACUGCCCUUUCACGGCAGAAACAGGGGUUCAAAUCCCCUAGGGGACACCA
rnacentral:tRNA from 1 species